rnacentral:rRNA from 1 species
UACAGAGGGGGCAAGCGUUGUUCGGAAUUACUGGGCGUAAAGGGCGCGUAGGCGGCCUGUUAAGUCGAACGUGAAGUCCCCGGGCUCAACCCGGGAACUGCGUCCGAUACUGGCAGGCUUGAAUCCGGGAGAGGGAUGCGGAAUUCCAGGUGUAGCGGUGAAAUGCGUAGAUAUCGGGAGGAACACCGGUGGCGAAGGCGGUUCUCUGGGCCUUACCUGACGCUGAGGAGCGAAAGCGUGGGGAGCGAACAGG